rnacentral:rRNA from 1 species
UGCCCGGUAGCUAAAUGCGGAAAAGAUAAGCGCUGAAAGCAUCUAAGCGCGAAACUUGCCUCGAGAUGAGUCUUCCCUGAGACCUUGAGUCUCCUAAAGGAACGUUUAAGACUAAGACGUUGAUAGGCUGGGUGUGUAAGCGUAGCGAUACGUUGAGCUAACCAGUACUAAUGAUCCGUGAGGCUUAACCUUACAACACCGAAGGUGUUU